GAUCAUGGCUCAGGAUAAACGCUGGCGGCGCACAUAAGACAUGCAAGUCGAACGAACUUAACCAUUAGUUUACUAUUGGAGCGGUUAGUGGCGGACUGGUGAGUAACACGUAAGCAACCUGCCUAUCAGAGGGGAACAACAGUUAGAAAUGACUGCUAAUACCGCAUAUGCCUUAGAAUCACAUGGUUCAAAAGGGAAAAGGAGCAAUCCGCUUUGAGAUGGCCUCGCGUCCGAUUAG
rnacentral:rRNA from 1 species